ACAAACUUGGUCAUUUAGAGGAAGUAAAAGUCGUAACAAGGUUUCCGUAGGUAUGUAUUAUAUCGAACCCUCUUUUUUUUUUUUUCUCGAGUCUCCCACUAACAUGAAAUUUUAGGUGAACCUGCGGAAGGAUCAUUAACGAGAAAACUGCCUUUUAGGUAGAUCUCCCACCCUUUGUCUCAAUUACCUUUGUUGCUUUGGCAGGCCCGUCUUCUGACCACCGGCUUGAGCUGGUCUGUGCCUGCCAGAGGAUACCAAACUCUUGAUUUCAAGUUGUCCGAGUCUUAUAAAAUAGUAAAAACUUUCAACAACGGAUCUCUAGGUUCUGGCAUCGAUGAAGAACGCAGC
rnacentral:misc_RNA from 1 species